GAUGGGUUUGCAUCCAAAAGGUGCAUAGGUUUUACAUCCGAAAGGAACAUACUUGGGAUGGGUUUGCAUCCAAAAGGUGCAUAGGUUUUACAUCCGAAGGGGACAUACUUGGGAUGGGUUUGCAUCCAAAAGGUGCAUAGGUUUUACAUCCGAAAGGAACAUACUUGGGAUGGGUUUGCAUCCAAAAGGUGCAUAGGUUUUACAUCCGAAAGGAACAUACUUGGGAUGGGUUUGCAUCCAAAAGGUGCAUAGGUUUUACAUCCGAAGGGGACAUACUUGGGAUGGGUUUGCAUCCAAAAGGUGC
rnacentral:lncRNA from 1 species